GGGCCCAUAGCUCAGCCUGCUUAGAGCACAAGACUCUUAAUCUUGGGGUCAGGGGUUGAAAUCCCCUUGGGCCCA
rnacentral:tRNA from 2 species